rnacentral:rRNA from 1 species
AGAACGAACGCUGGCGGCAUGCCUAACACAUGCAAGUCGAACGCUCUUGGGGCUUCGGUUUCGAGGGAGUGGCGCACGGGUGAGUAGCGCGUGGGAACCUGUCCUGUUGUGGGGGAUAACCGAGGGAAACUUCGGCUAAUACCGCAUGCGCCCCGGUGAAAGCCGGGGGAAAGAUUUAUCGCAGCAGGAGGGGCCCGCGUCGGAUUAGCUAGUUGGCGGGGUAACGGCCCACCAAGGCGAUGAUCCGUAGCUGGUCUGAGAGGAUGAUCAGCCACACUGGGACUGAGACACGGCCCAGACUCCUACGGGAGGCAGCAGUGGGGAAUAUUGGACAAUGGGCGCAAGCCUGAUCCAGCAAUGCCGCGUGAGUGAUGAAGGCCUUCGGGUUGUAAAGCUCUUUUGGCGGGACGAUGAUGACGGUACCCGCAGAAGAAGCCCGGCUAACUUCGUGCCAGCAGCCGC